UACGAAGGGGGCUAGCGUUGCUCGGAUUGACUGGGCGUAAAGGGCGCGUAGGCGGUUCGUACAGUCAGACGUGAAAUUCCUGGGCUCAACCUGGGGGCUGCGUUUGAUACGUGCGGACUUGAGUGCGGAAGAGGGUCGUGGAAUUCCCAGUGUAGAGGUGAAAUUCGUAGAUAUUGGAAAGACCACCGAUGGCGAAGGCACUCUACUGGGCCAUUACUGACACUGAGAGACGAAAGCUAGGGGGAGCAAAUGGG
rnacentral:rRNA from 1 species